UUAGGGCACUUACCCAGACGCCCAUCUGAGGCUUUUCUCCCCUAUUCCGAUGGAAUGUGUCCCCGGAAGCUGAUACUUCGCCAUUUUUUUUUUUUUUUUUUUUUUUUUUUUGUCUCUUAACAGGCGGGCUGAGGAAGUUGCCUCUCUCUGGCGCCUGCAUUCAAUGAACGUUUGUAAUGUUAGCAGGUGUGGACCUUGAGGAGAUUUUCUCUCCCUGGCUGCCCAAUUAUCAUUUUUAGAGAGGCAAUGCGAUAAUUGCUGAACGAUGUCACCUGACAUUCCUAGCGGGUGGGAGAGAGCCCUCUCCUGCCCCGCUCAUUGCCUAACUACCUGUAACAGGUGUGUGGGUGAGUGCUCCCUGUGAUGGAACGGUGUCCUGUUCAGGACUGGGUGCCACCUGGCACCUUGAGCUGCCAGGACCGGCUCGGGCUGCUCGCGAUCCCAAACUAGAACAAAUGGAAAUGUUCAGUUGUCUAGCUCACAGGGAUAUCCACAAGCCAGACCCAGAAAGCCUUUGCUACCAUUGAUGAAGAUGCCAAGUCCACAGCCCAACAGCCAGAAGACCCUUGGUCUAGCCCUUGGAUUCAGACUGAAUUGAUAUCGCCAGGUUUCCUGUCUUUUCAGCUUGCAGGCAGCUGAUUGUGGGACUUCUCAGCCUCCUUAAUCAUAUUUUCUUAUCAUUGGCCUUCAACAUUUUUAUCAGGAUAUAUCUGUGUAUAUUGCAGAUUUUACAAAUUGAAGGUUUGUGACAACUCCCUCAAGGAAGUCUGUUGGUGUUAUUUUUCCAACAGCAGGUACUCACUUCAUGUCUCUGUGUCACAUUUUGGCCUUUAAACCAAGAGAAGACAUACCUGAGCAAUUGAACCAGAAGGGAUGAGCCCCACCUGGAUCUGAUGCAGAUUAAAAUAUCUUGGACCUUGGGCCUGAGCUUGGAAUGGAAUGAGACCUUUGAGGAUCUUAGUGGGGAGUAAGUAUGUUUUGCAAAAGGGAGAAAUGGAAAUAAUUUGUGCUGAGAAGUUGGACUAUGGCAGCUUGAGGUCAGUGAAGACAUCACUACACAAGCUUUGGUACUCCUGCCAUUAAGACAUAAAGACAGUUUUCUUUCCCUUUAAAUCAAAACAGGCUUGGAAUGUUUUAACCAAUAGAGUAUGCCAGAAGUGACCCAUAGAAUGUGACGGAAGUGACCUCAUGUGACUUUUGAGCCUAGAUCAUAAAAAACCAUGAAGCUUAUGCCAUGUUCCAUGGGUUGUACCAAUAAGAGCCCUGAUCUACUAGAUAAGCCUCCUGGGGAUGCCAUGUACUUUUUUCUUAUACGUUACAAUUGUCUUAAGGAAAGGGUGAUGCCAAUUAUAACAUGACACAGCGAUUUUUGAAAAUGUUUUGCAC
rnacentral:lncRNA from 10 species